GGGCUCGUGGUCUAGUGGUCAUGACGCUUCCCUUACAAGGAAGAGAUCGGUGGUUCGACUCCGCCCGAGCCCA
rfam:Halogeometricum borinquense DSM 11551, complete genome.